rnacentral:rRNA from 1 species
AACGAACGCUGGCGGCAUGCCUAACACAUGCAAGUCGAACGAGACCUUCGGGUCUAGUGGCGCACGGGUGCGUACCGCGUGGGAACCUGCCCUUAGGUUCGGAAUAACUCCCUGAAAGGGGUGCUAAUACCGGAUAAUGUCUUCGGACCAAAGAUUUAUCGCCAUUGGGUGGGCCCGCGUUGGAUUAGCUAGUUGGUAGGGUAAAAGCCUACCAAGGCGACGAUCCAUAGCUGGUCUGAGAGGAUGAUCAGCCACGCUGGGAAUGAGACACGGCCCAGACUGCGACGCGAGGCAGCAGUGGGGAAUACUGGACAAUGGGGGAAAGCCUGAUCCAGCAACGCCGCGGGAGUGAUGAAGGCCUUAGGGUUGUAAAGCUCUUUUAGCCGGGAUGAUAAUGACAGUACCGGGAGAAUAAGCUCCGGCUAACUCCGUG